rnacentral:rRNA from 1 species
GAUCAUGGCUCAGGAUGAACGCUAGCGACAGGCUUAACACAUGCAAGUCGAGGGGCAGCAUGAGGUAGCAAUACCUUGAUGGCGACCGGCGCACGGGUGAGUAACGCGUAUGCAACCUGCCCGAUACCGGGGUAUAGCCCAUGGAAACGUGGAUUAACACCCCAUAGUACUUUUAUCCUGCAUGGGAUGUGAGUUAAAUGUUCAAGGUAUCGGAUGGGCAUGCGUCUUA